rnacentral:lncRNA from 1 species
AUGUCAACUCUCCCUGUUUUUUCCCUUUUUCUUCCUGGACAGUGGCUCCGAUCACAGCCCUCCUCUGUGGUGCAGGUGGGAAAUGAUGCAUUUCAGCUCCGGGUUGUAAACUGAAGCCUCAACAGGGAGAGGAGAAGCCACGGGACAAGGGGCUCUGGGUCUGAUUUUUUCCAAGUGGACCCCAGCUGGGUAUGGAAAAACUCAUUGUGAGUGGAAAAACUCAGCACACCAUGGCAAGAUCAGGAUGGUCUGGUUUCUCUCCCGACCCAGCCCAGCCAGUCCAUAGGACCUUACAGGUAUUGAGAAAAUAAAGUUCCCUGUGUGCUGCUGUGGGAAUCGGUCUGAAGAUGGAGAAGUAUUUACCUGAACAUCGCCAUCAAGAAUUUAGAGAACCGAGGCCCUGACAGAAAGAACAUGUGGACAAUGACUUGGAGAGGGGCCCUAGGAGAAGCAUUGUGUUGCACUGGUUUCUCCAAUGGGGGUUGGGCUGCUGCUUACAAUGGCUGCUGUGUGGACUUUGCCGGCUGCUUCAGCCAAACCAGCCCCCACCUCCUGAAAGUCAUUGUUAUGAGGGUCUCUUCGACCCAGGGACAACAGCUGCUGUCCAGAAGAUGUGUUCUCACCUGCAGCCUCAGUCACACCUGUUCCCCACCUGCUUCCCCAAAAAAUGGCCAACAAAAAGGAGCAUGCCCAGGAGCUAGCCAAGGGUUCUGAGGUCACACAAUGGACCAGAGAAAGACCCCUGAAUGCUGGACACAUAAGCGCUGGCAAAAGAAAGUGUGAAUCUUUUGAGCCUGCGCAGUACAAGCCUGGGUUGUGAAAUCAAGGCUGAGACUGGGCUAAAACAAUGGGAGUGAGGCGGGUGAAGAAGCAUAAAAGGUGACUCCCAAAUGGACACUGUUGAAGAUCUUCCCGCCAGAGGAUCCCGAACCAUGACACAGGACCGGCAGAACUCCAUGGGACCGGAGACCAGAGGGACCCUUCUGGAACUGGACUGGUGAUAAACGCAACCUCAUUAUCUUUACUUUUACUUUUCCCUAUUUCUUUUCCCUUUUCUUUUUCUUACUCUCUCUCCCUAUCAUGUGCCGCUUUACGGGCAAAUUAAUAAAGUA